GUAAAUAAUGCCUAACCUAAGAAAGACU
rnacentral:piRNA from 1 species